UGUAAGUGUCAAGUGUUUGGUCUGAGACUGGAUUUGAACUCAGUUUUAGGUGCUAGGGGUGAACCUCAUGGAACUGAAAGUGAGCCAUGGUGACCUUGGAGCCAGGAUAGCAGAAAGUGUGAUAAUUUUUUUGUAGAGGGAUAGAAAGGAGAAGUUUCUGACAUCAAACACCAUUUUGGACUCCAUCUUCACCUGGUUUCACACUGGUCACGCCUUCUCCAAUGCUUUCUACUACUCCAGCUCCUUCAUGUCCCAAAAUUGCAGGCUGCUCUGUUUCUUUGACUCCAGCCAUUCACAGGUUAGAGGCCGGUCCUAAUCCAGUUGACACUUUGGAGAGAGAGAACCCACAUGGAUGUUUUCUCAGAUUCAUCCCCUGAAGUGUGCCAGAAAGAAGAAUCUAUCUUACAUUUUGCCCUGGAAGAUGGCCCUGGACUUCAUGCUAUGCAUAUGGUGGGAGGUGUGACUCCUGCCUGGCUGAAAGAAUGCUGACCCCAACACUGUUUAAUGAUAAAGAACUUACAUCAGUUGGUUACAGAAAGAGGACCUCAAGGGAGGCAAUCUAAAGAGAGAAGACAUGAACUCUUGAAUGAUGGGAAAACAUACAUACACAAGACUAAAACCUCUAAGUCCUCAUUUCCUGAGACAGGGAUUCCCAUUGAGUUCUUAAUCAUUAGGAGAUAAUCAUAAAUAACAACUUUACCUUAAUUCAAACCUCUCCAGCCUUUGGUGGAUCAACUCCCACCUCCUCAAUACACAAGGGAGCAUUAAUCGUCCAGGCAAUGGCUGCCCUGCACGUGAUAACCUGUAAAAUUAAUAAAAUAGAACAAGAUUCUGAUAUAAGCUAGAAUUAUGUUUGAUAUAUCUUUUACUAAAGGCAUGCUGGCUCUCUCUCUUGGUAUCUUUUCAAACUGAGGAUGGUUUUCUAACCUGCGCAUUUUGGACAAAUAGAAAAAUAAAGACGUGAA